CACAACCGGAGUUCUCCGGAAAAUAAAGGUAAAUCGUCCGGGUCAGGACA
ncrna:unclassified sequences RAGATH-25 RNA